rnacentral:rRNA from 1 species
UACGUAGGGGGCAAGCGUUGUCCGGAAUCAUUGGGCGUAAAGAGCGUGUAGGCGGCCCGAUAAGUCCGCCGUGAAAGUCCAGGGCUCAACCCUGGAAUGCCGGUGGAAACUGUCGGGCUGGAGUCCGGAAGAGGCGAGUGGAAUUCCGUGGUGUAGCGGUGAAAUGCGCAGAUAUCGGGGAGGAACACCUAUGGCGAAGGCAGCUCGCUGGGACGGUACUGACGCUGGAGACGCGAAAGCGUGGGGAGCAAACAGGAUUGAGAUACCCUA